UCCAGGGUAGCCUAGUGGACAUGUUAUCUGCCCGGUAAGAGGAACACUGUGGGUUCGAUUCCCAUCCCUGGAC
rnacentral:tRNA from 1 species